CGUAGGCGGUUUUUAAGUGAGGCGUGAAAGCCCUGGGCUUAACCCAGGAGGUGCGUUUCAUACUGGAAGACUUGAGUACGAGAGAGGAAAGCGGAAUUCCUAGUGUAGAGGUGAAAUUCGUAGAUAUUAGGAAGAACACCAGUGGCGAAGGCGGCUUUCUGGCUCGUAACUGACGCUGAGGCGCGAAAGCGUGGGGAGCAAACAA
rnacentral:rRNA from 1 species